GACGAACGCUGGCGGCGUGCCUAAUACAUGCAAGUGGAACGCACAAUUUAUACCGGAGCUUGCUCCACCAUAAAUUGUGAGUCGCGAACGGGUGAGUAACGCGUAGGAAAUCUGCCGAUGUGCGGGGGAUAACGAUUGGAAACGAUCGCUAAUACCGCAUAAAACCUUUUAAGUCCUCUUAAAAGGUUGAAAGGUGCAAUUGCAUCACACAUCGAUGAUCCUGCGUUGGAUUAGCUAGUUGGUAAGGUAAAGGCUUACCAAGGCGAUGAUCCAUAGCCGACCUGAGAGGGUGAUCGGCCACAUUGGGACUGAGACACGGCCCAAACUCCUACGGGAGGCAGCAGUAGGGAAUCUUCGGCAAUGGACGGAAGUCUGACCGAGCAACGCCGCGUGAGUGAAGAAGGUUUUCGGAUCGUAAAGCUCUGUUGAUAGAGAAGAAUAGGAAAGAAAGUGGAAAGUUCUUUCUGUGACGGUAUCUAUCCAGAAAGGGACGGCUAACUACGUGCCAGCAGCCGCGGUAAUACGUAGGUCCCGAGCGUUGUCCGGAUUUAUUGGGCGUAAAGCGAGCGCAGGUGGUUUCUUAAGUCUGAUGUAAAAGGCAGUGGCUUAACCAUUGUAGGCAUUGGAAACUGGGAGACUUGAGUGCAGUAGAGGAGAGUGGAAUUCCAUGUGUAGCGGUGAAAUGCGUAGAUAUAUGGAGGAACACCGGAGGCGAAAGCGGCUCUCUGGGCUGUAACUGACACUGAGGCUCGAAAGCGUGGGUAGCAAACAGGAUUAGAUACCCUGGUAGUCCACGCCGUAAACGAUGAGUGCUAGAUGUUGGGAGGCAUAAGUCUUUCAGUAUCGCAGCAAACGCGAUAAGCACUCCGCCUGGGGAGUACGACCGCAAGGUUGAAACUCAAAGGAAUUGACGGGGACCCGCACAAGCGGUGGAGCAUGUGGUUUAAUUCGAAGCAACGCGAAGAACCUUACCAGGUCUUGACAUCCCGCUGAUCGCUCUAGAGAUAGAGUUUCUCUUCGGAGCAGCGGUGACAGGUGGUGCAUGGUUGUCGUCAGCUCGUGUCGUGAGAUGUUGGGUUAAGUCCCGCAACGAGCGCAACCCUUAUGUUUAGUUGCCAUCAUUGAGUUGGGCACUCUAGACAGACUGCCGGGGAUAACUCGGAGGAAGGUGGGGAUGACGUCAAAUCAUCAUGCCCCUUAUGACCUGGGCUACACACGUGCUACAAUGGAGCAUACAACGAGCAGCAAGCUGGUGACAGCAAGCGAAUCUCUUAAAAUGCUUCUCAGUUCGGAUUGUAGGCUGCAACUCGCCUACAUGAAGUCGGAAUCGCUAGUAAUCGCGGAUCAGCACGCCGCGGUGAAUACGUUCCCGGG
rnacentral:rRNA from 1 species